GUUGGCGUUGAAUAUUGGCGUUCCUCUGGCAUCGGUCGUAUCUCCGGACGAAGUCUAGCGUAUCCUUAUGGAGCGUCGGGCAAUAAUAUCCCUGGCGUAAUAUCUUAUGCGCCAGUGCUCGGCUUCCCAAAUGGUUUCCGCAAAUUUCUUCAUGGACUUCACGCAUUGCAUAAUCCGCCUCCGACGGAUGGAGGCAUCUGAGGAGGGGGGAGGUAAAAGACCUCCGAUAAAGCUUGCCCUCAUACA
rnacentral:lncRNA from 1 species